UGGGGAAUCUUGGACAAUGGGGGCAACCCUGAUCCAGCCAUGCCGCGUGAGUGACGAAGGCCCUAGGGUCGUAAAGCUCUUUCGCCAGGGAAGAUAAUGACGGUACCUGGUAAAGAAACCCCGGCUAACUCCGUGCCAGCAGCCGCGGUAAUACGGAGGGGGUUAGCGUUGUUCGGAAUUACUGGGCGUAAAGCGCACGUCGGCGGACCAGUCAGUCAGAGGUGAAAUCCCGGGGCUCAACCUCGGAACUGCCUAUGAUACUGCUGGUCUCGACAUCGAGAGAGGUGAGUGGAAUUCCGAGUGUAGAGGUGAAAUUCGUAGAUAUUCGGAGGAACACCAGUGGCGAAGGCGGCUCACUGGCUCGAUACUGACGCUGAGGUGCGAAAGCGUGGGGAGCAAACAGGAUUAGAUACCCGCGUAGUCC
rnacentral:rRNA from 1 species